GCCUAGAUAGCUUAGUUGGUUAGUGCAUGGUGCUGAUAACGCCCAGGUUGCAGGUUCAAUCCCUGCAAGGGACA